GGAACCCAAGGAGGAAGCCCCGGCUAACUACGUGCCAGCAGCCGCGGUAAUACGUAGGGGGCAAGCGUUGUCCGGAAUUAUUGGGCGUAAAGGGCGCGUAGGCGGAUGCUUAAGUCCGGUGUGAAAGAUCAGGGCUCAACCCUGAGAGUGCAUCGGAAACUGGGUAUCUUGAGGACAGGAAAGGAAAGUGGAAUUCCACGUGUAGCGGUGAAAUGCGUAGAUAUGUGGAGGAACACCAGUGGCGAAGGCGACUUUCUGGACUGUAACUGACGCUGAGGCGCGAAAGCGUGGGGAGCAAACAGGAUUAGAUACCCUGGUAGUCCACGCCGUAAACGAUGAGUGCUAGGUGUAGAGGGUAUCGACCCCUUCUGUGCCGCAGUUAACACAAUAAGCACUCCGCCUGGGGAGUACGGCCGCAAGGUUGAAACUCAAAUGAAUUGACGG
rnacentral:rRNA from 1 species